rnacentral:rRNA from 1 species
AGAGAGAGUUAACAGUGCGUGAAACCGCUCAGAGGUAAACGGGUGGAGUUGAACUGUAAGCUCCGGGGAUUCAGCUGGUGAGUGUGUCAUGGGCUUGGUCAUUUUCGGCCGGCCUCUGGAGUCCGCUUAGCUGCGGGUCCCUGCUUCUUCGGGAGUAGGGGUGCGCGUCGCGCUUGUCAAGUGCUGUGCGCUCUGGAGGUUGCCGGGCUGGCUCGCCAGUGCACUUUCUCGGAGUGGUCACCNCGACCGGCGUUGUUGUCUUGCUGCUGUGGUCGAACCGGUCAGGUUUGGUCCUUGUGGCUGAACUUGAUCGGGAUGGCAGGUAGCUCAUUGGUUGGCUUGUCCAGUCUUUGGGUGUAAUCAGCUGGCUGCAGUGGUAUUGUGCAAUGCGUCGGAGACGGCGGCUCGAGGUAUGUGCUUGUGUUCCGUUGGUUGGCGGUAUCGGGUUUGGCUGGCGUGUUACCUGCUUCGGUGGGUCCGUUGGUGGCUCGGUGCUGUUUGGCUAGCGG